ACGCUGGCGGCGUGCCUAAUACAUGCAAGUAGAACGCUGAAGGAGGAGCUUGCUUCUCUGGAUGAGUUGCGAACGGGUGAGUAACGCGUAGGUAACCUGCCUGGUAGCGGGGGAUAACUAUUGGAAACGAUAGCUAAUACCGCAUAACAGUAGAUGUUGCAUGACAUUUGCUUAAAAGGUGCAAUUGCAUCACUACCAGAUGGACCUGCGUUGUAUUAGCUAGUUGGUGGGGUAACGGCUCACCAAGGCGACGAUACAUAGCCGACCUGAGAGGGUGAUCGGCCACACUGGGACUGAGACACGGCCCAGACUCCCACGGGAGGCAGCAGUAGGGAAUCUUCGGCAAUGGACGGAAGUCUGACCGAGCAACGCCGCGUGAGUGAAGAAGGUUUUCGGAUCGUAAAGCUCUGUUGUAAGAGAAGAACGGGUGUGAGAGUGGAAAGUUCACACUGUGACGGUAUCUUGCCAGAAAGGGACGGCUAACUACGUGCCAGCAGCCGCGGUAAUACGUAGGUCCCGAGCGUUGUCCGGAUUUAUUGGGCGUAAAGCGAGCGCAGGCGGUUAGAUAAGUCUGAAGUUAAAGGCUGUGGCUUAACCAUAGUACGCUUUGGAAACUGUUUAACUUGAGUGCAAGAGGGGAGAGUGGAAUUCCAUGUGUAGCGGUGAAAUGCGUAGAUAUAUGGAGGAACACCGGUGGCGAAAGCGGCUCUCUGGCUUGUAACUGACGCUGAGGCUCGAAAGCGUGGGGAGCAAACAGGAUUAGAUACCCUGGUAGUCCACGCCGUAAACGAUGAGUGCUAGGUGUUAGACCCUUUCCGGGGUUUAGUGCCGCAGCUAACGCAUUAAGCACUCCGCCUGGGGAGUACGACCGCAAGGUUGAAACUCAAAGGAAUUGACGGGGGCCCGCAC
rnacentral:rRNA from 1 species